rnacentral:rRNA from 1 species
CCUACGGGAGGCAGCCGUGGGGAAUAUUGGUCAAUGGAGGAAACUCUGAACCAGCAACGCCGCGUGAAUGAUGAAGGUCUUCGGAUGGUAAAGUUCUUUGCUAAGGGAAGCAGAAAGUGACGGUACCUUAGGAAUAAGCCUCGGCCAACUACGUUCCAGCAGCCGCGGUAAUACGGAGGGGGCGAGCGUUAUCCGGAAUGACUGGGCGUAAAGGGUGAGUAGGGGGUUUGACAAGAUGGUAGCGUAACUCCGAGGCUUAACCUCGGCACGACUACUAAGACCGUCGGACUUGAGUGCAGGAGGGGCAAUUGGAAUUCCUAGGGUAGCGGUGGAAUGCGCAGAUAUUAGGAGGAACACCGGUGGCGAAGGCGAAUUGCUGGACUGUAACUGACACUGAGGCACGAAAGCGUGGGGAGCAAACGGGAUUAGAUACCCGAGUAGUC